rnacentral:tRNA from 1 species
GGAGGGAUACCGAAGCGGUCAUAACGGGGCGGUCUUGAAAACCGUUAGAGGCAAACACCUCACAGGGGUUCGAAUCCCCUUCCCUCCGCCA